GAAAUGCGAUAAGUAAUGUGAAUUGCAGAAUUCGGUGAAUCAUCGAAUCUUUGAACGCACAUUGCGCCCGCCAGUAUUCUGGCGGGCAUGCCUGUUCGAGCGUCAUUUCAACCAUCAAGCCCCGCGCUUGUGUUGGGGACCUGCGGCUGCCGCAGGCCCUGAAAACCAGUGGCGGGCUCGCUGUCACACCGGGCGUAGUAGAUUUUAUCUCGCUCAGGGCGUGCUGCGGGUUCCGGCCGUUAAAAAGCCUUUUUUACCCAAGGUUGACCUCGGAUCAGGUAGGAAGACCCGCUGAACUUAAGC
rnacentral:misc_RNA from 1 species